UAGAUGGUGUCAUCACAAGUGCCAAUGUCGCCCACUCUUCAUCAUCCCUCUUACUGUAACCAUCGCCUCUCCUCUUUAUAUUACACAACCUCAUUAGCACGAAUCGUGCUUUGAUCGGCCCGCCGCCUCUCCCAAGAAGGUGGCCGGCCACCUGUCGACGACCCCCAAAA
ensembl:ncRNA F43G6.14 ncRNA